CAAAGCUCUCUAUGGAUUACGUC
rnacentral:siRNA from 1 species